CAAUAUUAUUCCUCUAUUUUCUUGAACUUUUAUUUAUUUAGUCAUUUACCCUGCUGCUUCAUAAAUUUCACUGUUCGCCUUUCUCUCUUUUGGUGCUUUUUACAAAUUCUAGAGCUGCACUUCAUGUAUUUAGAGACAUUGUCUUCAUUGUUUAUAAGCAGUUCCUUCAUUACAAAUCCUAGAACUGAAACCUUUCACUUUGAAGGUAGGAGACUGGUACGAACCGUGAGUGUUUCAUAGAGAAAUUCUGUUCAUAUGAAGCAGAAGAAAGUCAUGCAGUACCUUGCAAUUACGUCGUGAUUAUUAGCCUAUUAUGAUGCUCAAAACCUGAUACAGAAAAUAUUUAUGACUGAAUGUUUGACAUGAUCUCAUGUCUUAUUUGCUAAUGGUGGUUACAUGAUCUCAAGUCUGACGGCAGAAGAAAGAAAUGCUGCCUGUUACUUUCACUGUCAUUCUCGCGGUUAAUUACAUGAUCUCAGGUCUCUCUCUCCAAGUUGCUAAUGGUGGUCCUAUGUAUGUCUUGGUAGACGAUGUAGGAUACAAUAGCUUCUCAUGUUCUGUUUACUUGUUUAGGCUAAAGUAGUAGAGUGCUUAUUCACCCCCUUCUCUGCAAAUCAUUCUCUCAAGGUUGCAGGCAAAUCUUAUAACCAGGUGCUUCGAGAAUGAACAAAUAUUCAGUUCAGCGGGAUUCAUAUUUUUCUUGCCUCCAUCUUAUUUCAUUAAUUUGUGGUAGCUGCCAAUUGUUUUUUCUCCAUGUCAGUAAUCAUCUUCACUAAUUCAGAUUCAUUCUUUUUUGUGUGGUUGCUACGAAAGAACAUAUCUCUUUGUUGCUGCACAUCUGUGAUGCUUUUAAGCAAAAUGCAAGAUGUUUGAGGAAAUGCCAAUGAGAACAAAAUGUGAAUAUGCUGUUAGUGGCGUUUAAAAACAUUUUCUUGCAUUUUUAAUAGUAUCAAUAAAAUGGCUAAAUUGCACAUGAGUCUAAAUCAUAUUAAAUCAUAACGGCCUCAUGUUUUUUGUCAAAGAGUUUUGUGGUUGCAUAAAUAAGUCGUGAGAACAUUUGGAUGCAAGCACCCAUCUUUCGUGAGAGAGACCCAUGCAUUUCAGUUCUUCUUUGUUUAUACUCUGCCAAGUUAUCUCAAGCAUAUGUUUUUACUUUGGCACAGGUUGAUUCUAUAACUGAAUGCAUAGGCUUAAAUCAGAGGAUAUAGCAGCGGAAGAACAAGUUGUAUGUUUGUCGAGGUGAUCUCUUCUUAUUUAUUUGACAUGAUAAAGCAUGGACCUUCUUGCUCAGGUUUCAGAUUUCUCAAUCCAUACUUUCGUGCAAAUAUCAAUUCUUGACUUGUUAUUCAGUAAUCUUGCACGUUUUCAUUUUCUCUAUAUAUCAUCAGUAUUAAAGUUCAUACAUAAUACCUUAUAUUAUUGGCUUUAGAACAUUGCAAAUCAGGGUAGGCGGUGCAUUUGGGAAAUUCAUAUUCUAUUCAAAGGCACUUCAUCGAUACAGUCAAAUGCUUCACAAUAGAAUAUGCUACUUCACUUUUUAGGUGUCCUAAGGUUUCAUAAUUCGUUUUUAUUAUCUAAAGCAGCAUGUUUUAUCAUUUUAGUUAGCAUUGCGCCAAUCACAAACCACAAAAAAUACACAUGCUCACCCAGUCACCCUUUGUAAAGAACCGCGCCUAUAUAUGUUCUGCUCUGUACUGAAUCUUGAUGCUUUGUACGGAACCAUAUGUAUAUGUAUACUAAUGGAAUACAUGCCCUGCAGUUAGCUAUCUUUGGUUUUUUAGCAGUCCUGUUGUGUUAUUUCCUUCGAAAUGGAUGAUUGGUUUAUACGUGUUUGAUUAUCUUCUUUGAACCUUACGCCUGACUGCUUAUUAGAUUGGCUUAUACAUGUUUGAUUCUCUGCUUUUUUUCGAGAAAACGCAAAUGGCCUUUGCGUUUCAUUGCAUUGGAAAGAAAGGGAAUUUACAUCCUCCUAGGAGGCAGGUUUACACAGUUGUCAGAUGAUCAGUGGACAUCCCAGGAUGAUGGCAAAACGACCCUGAGCCCUUGAGCCCCGGCCUUUGCCCAACAUCGGGCCUUGUCCUUGAUCCUGUCGACAAGCUCAUUGAGCGAUGGGCUCACAUGGUCAAAAACGCACGCGUUCCUAUGCUUCCAGAUCAUCCACGGCACCAAAAGCGCCACGGAUUUCAGCGCCUUGCGGAGCGCUGGCAGUGUGGAUUCCUUCGCGUGCAGCCACCAGUCCAUGAGCGAGUCGUCGUGCUCGGGCGCCGGUGCCGGUAAGCGCAGACAAGAUAGGAUCUCAUGCCAUGUUUGCCUAGUGAAGGGGCACGCGAGCAUCAAGUGUCUGAUUGUCUCCGGCUCUUGGUCGCAUAGAAGGCAUCGCGGGUGGUGCUGCAGGCCACGGCGUGCGAGCCGCUCCGCGGUCCAGCAGCGAUCUUGUCAUGCCAUCCAACGGAAAAAUUUCACUUUUGGCGGUGCCCGGCUCCUCCAUAUGAGCUUCCAGGAGUGGCAGCCCGUCGCUCCCAGGAAGGUUGCCCGGUAGCAAGACUGAGCGGUGUACACGCCGUUGGCGGUCCAGCUCCAGAGCAGCUUGUCCGGCUCGUUGGACAGCUCGACAUGCUGCACUAGGUGCCAUAGCUUCAGGUACUAUCCAAUCUCGGGAAGGCUGAGCAGCCCAUGGAUGUCGCGCGCCCAGCUUUUGACGGCCAAGGCCUCCGCCACCGUUCUCGAUUUCCGGCGAUGCUUUGGGAUGCACUGAAAGAGCAUGGGCGCUAGCUCGCGGAUGGACUGGCCGCCGAGCCAGCGAUCCUCCCAGAAGAGGGCGGUCGUGCCGUCCCCGAUGGCCAUGGUCGUGGAAGCGUGGAAGAGCGCGCGCUCUUCCGACGUAAAUUGCAGGUCCAGCCCCUGCCAUGCGUGAUCAGUGCCCGUACGCGCAAGCCAUAGUCAACGCAGCCGGAGCGCGAGCCCAGUGCGCUCGAGAUCCCGGACACCUAGGCCGCCAUAUUCGAGCGGGUGGCAGACCCGGCGCCAAUUCACGUGGCAGUGUCCACCGUGGGCGUCCGCGCGGCCGGCCCAAAGAAAACCAUGCUGAAUCUUCUCUAGUUGCUUCAGGGUUUUCUUGGGAGGUGCGAGCGCGAGCAAUUGGUGAAUCAGGACCGCGCUGAGCACCGACUUGACUAGCGCCAGCCGUCCGGCCUUGUUCAUCAGCCAUGCCUUCCAGGUAGGAAGCCGGCCUGCCACCGUGUCGACAAGGGGUUGCAGCUGGGCCGCGGAGGGGCGACGGGUGGUGAGCGGGAUGCCCAGAUAGGUGAUUCUCUGCUUUGAAUUGUAUGAUUGCCUGUUUAUUAGCCCUGGAAAAUGAAACGCUUCAAUGGUUGAUUAUCCUUCCACUUAGAUCAAAAGGAAUUUUUCCAAUAGAACUAUGGAACCCCUGAGCGGUUGCGGUUGUACCUGUACUGCAGGAAUAAGAAACUCACUAUUCACUCAGUUUAUUUUCCAUAAUAAGUUAUGUAGGAGAGAUGGCCGAACGGUUCAAGGCGUAGCAUUGGAACUGCUAUGUAGACUUUUGUUUACCAAGGGUUCGAAUCCCUCUCUUUCUGUUUUUCUUAAUUCAUCAACGUUAAGGAUCACAAUGUAUCAAAUCAAAUAGCAAUUUUCUCCAGCAAUAAUAUCUUAUAUUAUCUUACUUUUAUUUAAUAGAAAUUAGAAAUUCUCUAUAGCAAAUUACUGUGGUAUGUAAAAUUCUAUAUAUGAAUCCCUUCAUGCACGAUAUUGAUUGUACAACGUUGAUAGUUCGUGUUGUCCUGCACAUGACUGGCUCCGGACUGUAAAUUGAGAAGUGUUAAUAUAGAAGAAAAGGUAAUGAUGCAUUCAGUGGGAAGGUUCUGAUAAGAUGUAUUCAUGCUUUUCAAUGGCUGAUUUCUAAUGUAUGAGAGGGGCACCUGUACUUAGUCCAGGCCAAAUCGUUGUUUUUAGCAUAAAAUCAAAUGUAUCUUUGCAGUAUUCCUGAAAAAUGGUCUUACAUUUUUUCCCCUUGGUAUUUAUUUACUGUACUGUAUCGGCUCAGUUGAGACGAGGUGAACACGUGAUGACCGUCAUCAGGUCCUUCGUCACAACACCUGAGCGGGCGAGAUGUUCAAAGUUAAAUUAAACACUAUUAUCUCAUAUGCUGUGGAAGAACCAUAUAUGUCGUUUUUCCUGACAACUGUUAGCACUUGCUUUUGGUAUAUCAUGUUAUCAAUUCUGUGACAUGCUUAAAAGGAUGUAAUGAAAUGAACCCUGCGUCUUUAUUUGAUGAAUUCAGAUGAUGAAUCAAUUGUCUAUAUUUUGUUUUAUCUGUCUGCCAUCUCGCACCUCUAAAAUAUAAAUUGUGUAUUACCGGGCUGGCUGGAUAUGCACCAGCUAUGCAGCCUUGCCGAAUGUUUUAUGUUAUGAAGGCAUCAGCAUGGGUGUUUGUAUUUACAAUGCCUCCUUCACACUUAAUCCACCAUCAAUGAGGCAAGUGCACUCCUUUUUGUCACAGAAAAUCAAGUGAAUGUUGCAUUCACAAACCAAUUAGCACGUUUGGGUUGUAGAUACUGUGCAUUGAUCCCUACAUUUGUAACCAAUUCGUGUUUGAUUGAGUUUACUCUCUUUCUCAUGCUUUGUGCUUCCCUAGGUCGGGCAGCUCCGUGGGGACAUGAAGCCGAUGGCGAAGGCGUGAGGCGGGCAUCAUCAUUGUGGAGUUAUUUGUGCAAGUUACACCAUCAGCAACCAUGUAAAGACAUUUGCAUCAGCUAUCAUCUCAAGUAGACCAUUUCCAUGCUCUAAGUUAACUAUUGUUUAAAUUGUGAAAAAUCAAAGGCUUUUGUGCCUAUUAGUUUGUUCUAUCCUGAGCACAUGUGUUGUGUUCAAUUAGCAAAAUGUUACUGUAGACCACAAUAACUAUGCAUGCUCAUACAUUGUGCCUAUACUUAGCAUAGUAAUAUAUGAGAUAAUCAAAGCUGCUAAGGAGGAGCUCCUCCCGUGAGUCCGCCGUUGUGGCCAGAGUGAAAAGUACCUUGGAAUGAACAGUGACCAUAGUGAACAGUAUUUCCAUGUGAACAUUAUUUUCACUUUUUUUAUUCUCUUUCAGAUACAAUAAUAAAAAGAGCUCCUUUACGGUGAUUGGGGCGGUACUGGGAGUACUUUCAAGUACUUACCCCUUUGAUUUUUAUUAGCCGUCCGAUCUGGUGGGGGAUUAAAAAUGAAUUAACUUAAUUAGUUUAAUCAGAGAAGGGCAUAAUGGUCCAGGGUAA
rnacentral:lncRNA from 1 species